rnacentral:rRNA from 1 species
GACGAACGCUGACGGCGUGCUUCAGACAUGCAAGUCGAACGAGAAAGCCCUUCGGGGUUAGUAAAGUGGCGAACGGGUGAGUAACACGUGGGCAAUCUGCCCUUCGUUGGGGGACAACCGGGGGAAACCCCGGCUAAUACCCCGUAAGCUUGUCGGGUCGCAUGGCCUGACAAGGAGAGGUAGCUUCGGCCAUCCGGCGAAGGAGGAGCCCGCGGUACAUUAGCUAGUUGGGGAGGUAAAGGCCCAACAAGGCGACGAUGUAUAGCUGGGCUGAGAGGAGGAUCAGCCACACUGGGACUGAGACACGGCCCAGACUCCUACGGGGGGCAGCAGUCGGGAAUCUUGCACAAUGGGCGAAAGCCUGAUGCAGCAACGCCGUGUGAGCGACGAAGGCCUAGGGUCGUAAAGCUCUGUUGUUAGGGACGAAGGGCGAAGGGUUAAUAGCCCUUAGCCUGACGGUACCUUUCGAGGAAGCCCCGGCUAACUACGUGCCAGCCGCCGCAGUAAUAC